rfam:Triticum aestivum genome assembly, contig: Triticum_aestivum_CS42_TGACv1_scaffold_622905_7DS
UAAGUACUCCCUCUGUUCCAUAUUAGUUGUCGCUGAAACGAAUGUAUCUAGACGUAUGUCAGUGCUAGAUACAUCCGUUUGAGCGACAACUAAUAUGGAAUGGAGGAAGUAUGUG